rnacentral:rRNA from 1 species
AGUGAACGCUGGCGGCAGGCCUAAUACAUGCAAGUCGAACGGCAGCACAGCAGAGCUUGCUCUGUGGGUGGCGAGUGGCGGACGGGUGAGGAAUACGUGGGAAUCUGCCCAGUCGUGGGGGAUAACGUAGGGAAACUUACGCUAAUACCGCAUGCGCCCUUCGGGGAAAGCCGGGGACCUUCGGGCCUGGCGCGAUUGGAUGAGCCCACGUCGGAUUAGCUAGUUGGCGGGGUAAAGGCCCACCAAGGCGACGAUCCGUAGCUGGUCUGAGAGGAUGAUCAGCCACACUGGAACUGAGACACGGUCCAGACUCCUACGGGAGGCAGCAGUAGGGAAUAUUGGACAAUGGGCGCAAGCCUGAUCCAGCCAUGCCGCGUGAGUGAAGAAGGCCCUCGGGUUGUAAAGCUCUUUUGUCCGGAAAGAAAUCGCAUGGGUUAAUACCCUGUGUGGAUGACGGUACCGGAAUAAGAAGCACCGGCUAACUACGUGCCAGCAGCCGCGGUAAU